UCUUGUACUACUGACUCCCAUGGUAAAUUCAACCGUAGCCUAUCGUCUACCACCGUGGGUGCCGUCGAACGCUGAUGAACGAAAACAACAAGCAGUUUUACGCAAUUUUUCAUUCGGAUCUCGCUUUAUUUAUUUAUAAAUUAUAUAAAUUAGCGUUUUGGACCAAUAAUAUAGAAAAACAAAACGAAGAUGGCUUCUGCUCGGCAUGCCCUUCCCUCGCCGCUUCCGUGUUACGUUUCUAAUGGAGAAUUGUAUCUGCGACAAUCGGAAUAUGAACGGCAGCAGCACUAUUAAAACAUUCAGCUUUUCUGGAGUUAGCUAGCAAACAUUCGUCAUAUUUUGGUAAUUAUGAUGCGAGUUAUGAUGGUCAUGGAUUUAAGCUGACUAUUGAAUUGACAAUUUCGGUAUUUUCGUCAGUAUGGAAGAAUCAAAUGUUUUCAUUCACACAGCAGAAUAUUGAUGGAAGCGGCAGGGCCCUGUAAAGAAUGAACUAACUGGAAACUCCGAGUGGUACCAUAAAGGUUUGAUACGUCUCUACUGCUAGCAAAAACUCGCCAGAAUGCUUGGUAAAUCAUUAAAUUCUGAUAGUGCUGCUGUCGUUCAUAUUCAAUUAUUGUCAAAAAUUUGAACACCUAUUUUGCAUUAAAUUAUGGUAAGCUGCAGAAAAUUUGUUGAAAAUAAAAUGGUUUAUUUUA